rnacentral:rRNA from 1 species
GACGAACGCUGGCGGCGUGCUUAACACAUGCAAGUCGAACGGAAAGGCCCUGCUUUUGUGGGGUGCUCGAGUGGCGAACGGGUGUGUAACACGUGAGUAACCUGCCCUUGACUUUGGGAUAACUUCAGGAAACUGGGGCUAAUACCGGAUAGGAGCUCCUGCUGCAUGGUGGGGGUUGGAAAGUUUCGGCGGUUGGGGAUGGACUCGCGGCUUAUCGGCUUGUUGGUGGGGUAGUGGCUUACCAAGGCUUUGACGGGUAGCCGGCCUGAGAGGGUGACCGGCCACAUUGGGACUGAGAUACGGCCCAGACUCCUACGGGAGGCAGCAGUGGGGAAUAUUGCACAAUGGGCGGAAGCCUGAUGCAGCAACGCCGCGUGCGGGAUGACGGCCUUCGGGUUGUAAACCGCUUUCGCCUGUGACGAAGCGUGAGUGACGGUAAUGGGUAAAGAAGCACCGGCUAACUACGUG